UAAACAUACGUGUACAAUACUUUAUACUGGGUAGAUAGACAAGG
rnacentral:guide_RNA from 1 species